GCCACGAGCGCCACGUUCCUGGUGCGCUUCCAGUCCAGCUCGCCGGUGUCCUUGUGCGUCACGCGCUGAUGGAGAAGAUCCCCGCCGGCGAACAGACAGCCGUACAGAGACACGUUGGUCAAACUGGACGCAUCAGUGUGACAUACAAAGUGCAGAGAGACACAACCCUGUUUAUUUCCCUGGCUCUUAAAACCUCUAACUUUGACUGUAUGAUUUGUGACGAUUUGACUGGAUUUUUAAUUUCACGUCUCAGCGUGGAACAUCGCUAAUUCGCAGACGUGUUGUUUAUAGACUACGGAAACGAUUCUGUACGUACGACAUGUAAACCAGAUGUGCAGCAUGAAGCUGGAACUUGAGAUGAUUUAAGAUGUGUUGAGCAAUUAGACUAAAAGCUUCCAGAUCAGAUCAGCCAUCAGCACUUUUCUUCAGCAGGACAUCUACAGAGCGUGUAACGAUCGAUGAUCGGCGGACGAACGAAUGAACAAAUCCUGACUGAUACAUUGCAGUAUGACUGAGUUAUUCAUCUUACAGUAAUGUUGGGUGUAAAUGUUUUCAUGCAUAAGAGUAAAUAUAUGCAAAUUUUACUUUGAUGUUUAAUUUCCAUGGUUAGAUUUUUAUCAUGAUACGAAUAAAGAUAAAUUAAUCUUAAGGAUGCCAUGACACCUGGGCCUAAGACAUCAAAAUUAAACACAUAAUUAAUAAAAAAAAAAUCCUUUAAUUAUGAGGUGUUUUGCAUAACGUGUCAUCGUAAUAAACCUAAACAAAGAGUGACAAUAGAGUUGUUGU